CAAUCACCCCUAAAAAAACCCUAGCUCCUCCCCUGCCACGCCCUGUCGUCGCUGCCCUCUUCUCAUUCUUUCUUUUUGCCGCCGAAACCCUGCCGCCGUUGCCCUCCUCCUCCCCUGCCACGCCGCCGCCGCUUAUUCAGGUUAACCACAAAGAUUGGAUGUGUUUUGGGGGAUGUUAAUGGAUUGCAAAUAAAGAUAUUGGAAGAUGGCAUGAUAGAGGGCUGAAUUACGAAGACGUGGGCGAAAAAGGCGUAGAAAACAGAGUUGAAAUGAGAGAGUUAUGAAGAAAACGGUUUUGGGAAUAAUCUGUCAGAUGUAGGCUACGGAUCAGACAUAGCCUACGGAUCAGGCAUUACGGGAAUUCGCAUAUGACCCAUAAAAACUAGGUUUUUAGGAAUCUUUUACACACAAUUCGCAGGAGGCAAGGCUAAGGACGAAUCUUGGUGACUAUGAGCAAGUUUUUACACCAUUCCACACCUUCCAAUUAUUCCUCAAUCAUCAAUCAUGCCUUCCAACAUCGAAUCUGAAGAUCAAUUCACAACCAUGAGUGGCUAAUUUCAUUGUGAUUUCCUCUGGGGCUGGGGUUUUGUAAGUAGAUGAACUAAUUCAAUUUCUUUUUAUGUUUGGGAUUAGCAAUCUAAGCAUUCGAUGCUUUUUGCUAUUUGAUUCGUUAAACUGAUUGUAACUGGUUGAAUUUUAUUCAAUAUCCAUUCGUUUAUCUUUCAA